UACGUAGGGCGCAAGCGUUAUCCGGAAUGAUUGGGCGUAAAGCGUCUGUAGGUGGCUUUUCAAGUCCGCCGUCAAAUCCCAGGGCUCAACCCUGGACAGGCGGUGGAAACUACCAAGCUGGAGUACGGUAGGGGGCAGAGGGCUCGUAGAGCCGGUGGAGCGGUGAAAUGCGUAGAGAUCGGAAAGAACACCAAUGGCGAAAGCACUCUGCUGGGCCGACACUGACACUGAGAGACGAAAAGCUAGGGGAGCAAAUGGG
rnacentral:rRNA from 1 species